rnacentral:rRNA from 1 species
GAUCAUGGCUCAGGAUGAACGCUAGCUACAGGCUUAACACAUGCAAGUCGAGGGGCAGCAUCAUCAAAGCUUGCUUUGAUGGAUGGCGACCGGCGCACGGGUGAGUAACACGUAUCCAACCUGCCGACAACACUGGGAUAGCCUUUCGAAAGAAAGAUUAAUACCGGAUGGCAUAGUUUUUCCGCAUGGGAUAAUUAUUAAAGAAUUUCGGUUGUCGAUGGGGAUGCGUCU